UUUACGGAGGACCCAAAGUGCCAGUUGGAUAUUCAAAAUAUACAAUGAAAACAUACCUACUGAGACCGCUUAAAUGACGGUGAGACACCCCAGUUUUUUCAAUGUCACUAAAAUUCGACGAAACCAUAAACUCUGUAUAUAGGUUUUUAAAUAGGCAGUAAUGGUAACGUCUUUUAAUCUUUUAUCCUUUAUUCUUUUAGCUUAGUCUUUAUCGUAAACUUGGAUAUGUAUUAAAG
rnacentral:lncRNA from 1 species